AACCGCCGGAUGCCGAACGGCACGUCCGGUGGUGUGGGAGGGAGCGAGGUGCAAAUCCGCUCUCUACCCGAU
rnacentral:ncRNA from 1 species